rnacentral:rRNA from 1 species
AUGGAUUCCGGUAAUACGCAGACAGACGGUUCUCAGCCAGCUGCUCCUAAGAACCCUGCCAUGACGUCGUGCCGGAAGAAGAAAACUGAUGAUGAUGUUACCUUCCUUGAAGACGUGAAAGAACACAUCGACGAGUUCAUCCACGCGUCCAUGGAUGAGCACAAGACCUGCUUCAAGAAGACCAUUCAGAAGAUGUUUGGGAUGUCGAAGGUUGUCGCGGAGCGGUCCGCUGCAGCAAAGGAAGCUGAAGUCGAAAGCGCUUUGCCCCUUCAGACCAGUGUGUCCCAGUAG